rnacentral:rRNA from 1 species
CAGUCGCCGCGGUAAUACGAAGGGGGCUAGCGUUGCUCGGAAUUACUGGGCGUAAAGGGAGCGUAGGCGGACAUUUAAGUCAGGGGUGAAAUCCCAGAGCUCAACUCUGGAACUGCCUUUGAUACUGGGUGUCUUGAGUGUGAUAGAGGUAUGUGGAACUCCGAGUGUAGAGGUGAAAUUCGUAGAUAUUCGGAAGAACACCAGUGGCGAAGGCGACAUACUGGAUCAUUACUGACGCUGAGGCUCGAAAGCGUGGGGAGCAAACAGGAUUAGAUACCCCUGUAGUCCCUGUCUCUUAUAC